AUCCACAACCCCAUUAACAAUAGCCAGCCCAAUUUCCCUUUCCUUUUCCCCCUUUUACUAACAAACCCACUCCAACAACAACAAAACCAUCGAUAACAUACAACCAACUACCAACAUCAAAUAAUAGCUUCAACAUCAACGUUAAUCCAGAACCCGGGAAAUUGACCCGUCAACAACCCGACAGUUUCGAUCCGAUAUCGACACCUCAUCCUCGUUUGAAUUUCGGAUUUCAAAUUCGUACAAGAAUAGUACGAUUUCCAGCUACUCAACAAACCUUAUCUCAUUUUUUGAACUUGAAUUUUCCAAGAUCGCCCUUGAAUAUUUCUAUCUUACAUCGUUAAUUCAUCAUGAAUUUAGGAUUGGGUUCAAUAUAAACCCCUCCUAUUCACUCUUUAAAGGGGUUGGAGGAAGAGAGAUUAAUUUAGCAGAGAACCCCAAUUAAAAGGAAUUUCGCUAAAUUAAAGUUUCAAUGCUAAAUUCUUGUAAGACCGUUUGUCUUAGGAUUUUCGAUGAAGAAAUUUUAUUCGUAGUUUUUCGGUGGUACGAAGAGAAUCCAUAAGCUCGCAGUCUCGGAGUCCAAUUGGAUUUUCACUCCUUUUCAUCCCUUUGCAUUUGAGUCAAGCCUCCGCUUAAGUCUAAAUGGCUUAUUUUUGGGAAGAAAAUAAGGUUGUAUACAAGGAUAUACAUGAGAUAUACAUUAUAUACAGGUGGUGGAAGCGAAUUUACAAGUUAAGAGAAGUAAAAAUGAAAGGAGGAAGAUAGUAUACAAAAUUUCAAGCUGAUAUAUAGCGUGUAUUAGCCAAAACAUGGAAAAAGUGGAGCUGAUAUACAGCUGGUAAACAGCUGAAAAAGAGGCUUAAUUUAAAUAGGCCCAAAGGGCUGGUCAAAUUUGAAAUGGGCCAAAAGGGGCCAAAUUUCUAUCUUUAUUCCUUUAUUUCCUUGUAUUUACUUGAUUAUUUGCUUGUAAUUUAAUUAAUUUAGAUGAAUCAUCGGGGAGUAAGCUUAUGUUGAAAUUAUUUACUUUAUUUGGUUGCUUAG